GAUGAAGAACGCAGCGAAAUGCGAUAAGUAAUGUGAAUUGCAGAAUUCAGUGAAUCAUCGAAUCUUUGAACGCACCUUGCGCCCUUUGGCCAUUCCGAAGGGCAUGCCUGUUUGAGUAUCAUGAACACCUCAACUCUUCAUGGUUUUCCAUGAUGAGCUUGGACUUUGGGGGUCUUGCUGGCCUGUGGGUCGGCUCCUCUCAAAUGAAUCAGCUUGCCAGUUUUUGGUGGGCAUCACGGGUGUGAUAACUAUCUACGCUUGUGGUUUUCCACCAGGGUAACCUUCAGCAGUGGAGGUUCACUGGAGCUUACAAAUGUCUCUCCUCUGUGAGGACAGCCCUUUGAAUGUUUGAUCUCAAAUCAGGUAGGACUACCCGCUGAACUUAAGCAUAUCAUAAGCGGAGGA
rnacentral:misc_RNA from 1 species